rnacentral:tRNA from 1 species
GUUUUAAUAGUUUAUUUAAAAUAUUGAUUUUGUAAAUCAAAGAAAAAAAAUUUUUUUAAAACU